CGCGGGGUGGAGCAGUUGGCAGCUCGUCGGGCUCAUAACCCGGAGGUCGUAGGUUCGAAUCCUUCCCCCGCAACCA
rnacentral:tRNA from 1 species